GCCUGGCUAGCUCAGUUGGUAGAGCAUGUAACUCUUGAUUUUGGGGUUAUAAAUUCAAGUCCCAUGUUAGGUG
rnacentral:tRNA from 1 species